rnacentral:rRNA from 1 species
GACGAACGCUGGCGGCGUGCUUAACACAUGCGAGUCGAACGGAAAGGCCCUGCUUUUGUGGGGUGCUCGAGUGGCGAACGGGUGAGUAACACGUGAGUAACCUGCCCUUGACUUUGGGAUAACUUCAGGAAACUGGGGCUAAUACCGGAUAGGAGCUCCUGCUGCAUGGUGGGGGUUGGAAAGUUUCGGCGGUUGGGGAUGGACUCGCGGCUUAUCAGCUUGUUGGUGGGGUAGUGGCUUACCAAGGCUUUGACGGGUAGCCGGCCUGAGAGGGUGACCGGCCACAUUGGGACUGAGAUACGGCCCAGACUCCUACGGGAGGCAGCAGUGGGGAAUAUUGCACAAUGGGCGGAAGCCUGAUGCAGCAACGCCGCGCGCGGGAUGACGGCCUUCGGGUUGUAAACCGCUUUCGCCUGUGACGAAGCGUGAGUGACGGUAAUGGGUAAAGAAGCACCGGCUAACUACGUG